rnacentral:rRNA from 1 species
GAUCCGGCUCAGGAUGAACGCUAGCGGCAGGCUUAACACAUGCAAGUCGAGGGGCAGCAUAAUGGUAGUAAUACUAUUGAUGGCGACCGGCGGACGGGUGCGUAACGCGUAUGCAACCUACCCUUUACAGGGGGAUAACACUGAGAAAUCGGUACUAAUACCCCAUAAUAUUCUGGGAGGCAUCUUUCGGAGUUGAAAGCUUUGGUGGUAAAGGAUGGGCAUGCGUUGUAUUAGCUAGUUGGUAAGGUAACGG